CCUGCAGAAAAGGACGACACCCACCUCACCCUCGCAGCAACCCCCUUCUACACCCGCCUCCACGGAACCCUGAUCCUGGCUCCCCUUCUCUCCGACCCCAGGGGCUCCUGGGAUCGCGCUCCUCCUUCUCCCCAGCCCUCACCAUCCGGCAGCCUCUUCUGCCUCUGUUCCGCCGCCCUCUGGCUUCACUAUGGAACCCCCUGCUGCCCCUGGCCCCCUGUCUCUCCCCUCUGGGGCCCCUCUAUCCCUCCUCGGCUCCCCAGUCGACACCUUCGCCCCGCCCUGCACUUCUCUCCACUUCUCACAUUUCUCCUCCUGCCCCCUCUCUCUACCCUCCUCUGUCCCAUGACUAUGAAUUUCACAGAGAAGCCUGUUUAUUUAGGUGACACCAAGUGGGAGACACACGAAACCGUUCCCCUAGCAUGGUUUGCCAAGUGGUGCAUAGGUCCCUACCCAGGAUCCGAACUGGCGAACCCGGGCCCGCAGAAGCAGAACGUGUGAACUUAACCACUACGCCAUCAGUUGGCCCCAGCAGUUGUGUUUUAACAAGCCCUCCUGGUGAUUUCUGAUAUGCCCUAGGCUGAAAACCACUGCCCGAGAUGUUCCGUGACAUAUUAGCUCCCUUCUUCAUAGGGUGAAUGGCGUCUGAGACCCCAAACCGGAGCAGACCAUGUGUCUGAAUGCAGAAGCUGAGCCCCAGAGCCCAGGGCCCCAGCAGCCUGAGAGAAAGUGCCCUAAGGAGACCCCUGCCAGGCAGGCGGGAGCAAAGGAAGAGAAGGCAGGACAGAUCUCCAGCUCCCUAUCUCCUGUGGGACCCUUUGACCCCUCAGCUGUCACAACUGACCUUUUCCAACUUCUCCUACCAGAGGCCCCACCCCCCACCAUGAAGCCCCUUUCCAGCCUGGAAUGUGAACUCCCCUUUCCGUGCCCCAAAUGUGGGAAGCGCUUCAGCCAGGGGGCCCGGCCUGACCCUGUACCUACACUCCCACACGGGUGACAGGCCCUGCUCCUGCAGCCAGUGUGGCCACAGCUCCUACCUGCCCCAGCCCCUGACACACAUGCCCACCAGUGUAGCAAGGGCUUCUCCCAAGAGCUCUGGCCAGCUGCAGCACACCACUGUUCACACAGGCACAUGGCCCUACGUCUGUGUCACCUGUGGAUGGGGUUCAGGAGCCACCCAGCCUCGUCUAUCGUGAGAAGACUCACUUAGUGAGCACGGCUUCCCCUGCCCCGAGUGUGGCAAGCACUUCACCCAGAGUGUCCGCUGAGCCCAGCACCUACGGACGCUCACAGGGGAGAAGCCCUACCUGUGCGGCUAGUGUGGCCAUGGCUUCAGCCAGCACCCCUGGCUCGUGGUCCACCAGUGGGUCCACCACUUGGUUCCUCUGCUAUCCCUGCCGGUCCACACCUGCUAGGUGUGCUCUUCCCUCCGGUGCGGGCAGUAGCCUGCUGCCACACAGUGCAGCACAUGAGAAGCCCUUCUUCUGCCCCCAGUAUCCCGAGGGCUCUGGCUACUCCAACCUGCAACACCACCAGCAGGACCACGGGGGGAGCGGCCCCACCACUGUGACCAGUGCAGCAAGGGCUUCAGACAGAGCUCAGGGCUGUGUGGCACCAGGGAGUCCACAGGGGCAAGACUGCGAGUGCAGCUUCCGGUCCAGCUCCGGCCUGGCCCAGCACCUGCAGGGCCGCUCUGGGGAAAGGCCCUUCUGCUCUGGCGGCUGUGGCUUCACUCAGAGUCCCCAUCGACCUUGACAACAGGCCAGGGCUGGUGAGGAGCACAGGGAUGAACAUGGAGGGGGGGACAUCUGGAGGCCAAGUCAAGGCCCCUGUGGGGAGCCAGCCCCCCAACUCCACAGCACUCUAGGAGGGCAGAGGGGCAGUUGGAAUGACUGCCUCUUUUGUGGGAGGCAUAAUGGAGCACAGCUCCCACCACACCCCAGCCAGAGCAACUUUCAGAGCAACCACAUUGGGUGGCCAGAGUGUCUCUGCUGGACCUACUCAAAGCUGGAAUGGCCAGGUCCACCUCACUUCUAGUCCAACGUGCCAGUUCCCCAGAGAGCUCCCGGCCUGGGAAAGAGCUCUCCCUGUUUCUUAGAAAGGACUCUGUACUUCUGAUCUUCUGUCCUCCGUCUGAGAAAUUUAACCAGGAUGUCUGGGUCCUACUGCCUCAUGGAUGGAUCCGAUUCCCUGGGAUUUUUUUGAAGGGAUCAUUUCAAAGAGAUAACUGAAUCCCCAUAGAGCUCCAUGACAACGCCCACCAUCAAAUCCUAGUCCCCCACUAACCCCUCCAACCCUCUCAUUUCCCCCGAGGCUUCUGGGUGCUUCUUGCCUCUGGUGCUAAAGCUACACCCAGCACACCUGUCUGAUGCUGCCAUCUCCCUAUGCCUACUCCUGGCCUCGCUAGGCCCUGUUUCAGGACCUCAGGGCUUCCUAAAACCUUCAUUGCACUUCAGUCUAGGAAUAAAGCCCAGAUGGAGGCUGCUCUUUCCAGCUGUACAGAGGCCUCCUAUUGAAAGGUGCAAAAGGGCAGAGGCAGGUGUCCAAGGAGAGGGCAGGGAUGUGGAGGAGAUGGAGACCGGAGGAAAAGCCAAGGGAGAUUGGAGGAGAAAGUGGGAGGUUCUGGAAUGUGGAGAAAAGACAGCAGGGCUGUGUGAGACAAGACACACAAGAAACAUCUCAGAAAAACUUAGAAACAAAUGUCUUCAGGUACGAACAUCCCCGGGGAACCACUCAUUUCUUCUUCAGUUGACAAGUUUCCCCCAGUGUUGUGAAGGCACUGAGUUGCCAACACAAUCACUUCAUGUCCUGCCAUUUGCACUUUUUCCACAAAAUUGCUUGCUAACUGUCUUCUUCGUGUGUUGGCAAACUGAUUUUGAACAAAGAGUCAGGAGGGAGUCCCACAGCAGAGUCCCUUCCAGACUGGUGCCCCGGCCCAGCCUGGCACUGAGGAGAGCACUGUCAUCAUUCACCCUUUUAGAAGGUUCUGCUGGGGGAGUCACUCCCUGGCAACACUCACAGCAAGUUUAUGGUUACUGUUCAUGUUAAAGGAUAAGGUAGACCUCAGCUCUUGUAUUAACUUCCCCCAAAGUAUACUCUUUAGAACUGGGCAGAGUCCUCCCUAGGAGGUAUCAGAGGCUGAUUACUGACACACACACGAAGGAAUUAAAGAACUGGAGGGAUAAAAGGGUCACUGAGAGACUGCUAAUCAGUUUCACCCUUUCAGGAAAUAUGUAUUGAGUCCACCACGUGUCAGGGACUGUUCUGGGACCUGGGUAUUACAAACAGGCAUAUGAUGCAGCCCCCGCCUUCCACCGAUUUGAUCUAGGCGUGUUCAGCAUCUCAAUAUUGAACCCAGCAUCUAGUCCUAUCAAUUGUAUCCACUAUAAUCUCUCUCAAGUAUGUCGUCUCUUUCCCACCCCUCCACCUCCCUUGUCCAGCUACCACCUGGACCAUCUGGUUCUCCUCUGAAUCAUCGUGAUGGCUGGAGAGGCUGGGAAUGGCGUUCUCUGUGAGCAGCACACCUGAGUAACAGAGGCCUCUUUGAAAUGUAAAUCUGAUUGUUUCAGGCACCCUGCUUAAGCCCAUUCAAUGGUUUCCCAUUGAUCUCAGGUUAAAGACCCCAGUCCUUAACCUGGCCUUUAAAGCUCUGCGAGGUGUGGCCGUGCCGGCCUCUCCAGCCUCAUCUCCCACCACUCACUCCUCUCUCCCUCUCGCAGAGCGCUCCACUUCCUGUCGGUGUCCCGCUUCCUCCCGCAGAGAGCGGCGGCCAGGCUGGGCCCUCCUCCUGAGAGGCGCUUUCUUCCAUUUCUCUCUUAGCUCCUCAUUCUUCGGAUCUCAGCUCCUUUACCACAUCCUUAGGGAAGGUACCCUAUCCUUUCCUUCAGGGUCCAAUUCCCUCCUCUGGGCUCCCACACCAGGUGCACCUUUCUCGCAGGCACUUGGCACCGUUCAGUUCCAUAUUUGUUGGUGAUUAUUUGAUUGAUAUCUGUCUCCCCACCGACUGUAAGCUCCCUGAGGGUGGGCACCACAACUGCAGAGGCUCACUCUUGCUAUUCCCUGGACACUCCAUAAAUAUUGAAAUAUUGGUUGAAUGGGUGCACAUGUGCCAGGAUCUGCAGCAGGUGCUAGAUAUUUCAGGAUUUCAGAGAGGGUGGAUUGAGGCCAUAAUUUCCCUCCAGCGGCUGCCGCCCAAGAGUCCCAUAUGCCGUUUCCUUAGCACCAUUCCUUUCUCCAUGUUUCCUGGUGUCAUCCAUCUUCCCAGCUCCGCCUCUCCGGUACCCUCCCCACCUCCACCUUGCCUAGGAGAACCUUUCUCCCUUUAGUUUUUUAGUGCCCCUUCCUGGUUUUGGCUCCUUGGCUUCAGAAGCCAGCAUGGAAUAAUGAGGCAAUAGCACAGGAUUCAGAAACAAAAUAUCUGGAUUCAAUAACAAGGUUAAAAGUAUUAGCGGUGUGACCUUCAGCAGGCUAAUAAACCACUCGGAACCCUAGCUUACAUAAAAUGGGAACAACUUCGAAAUCAAGCAAGUUGGAGGAAUUAGAAAACCUAAAAGCACCGUCAUCUAGAAAUACUGGAUAAAAUAUGAAAAAAAUUAAACAUAUGACUGAAUUCUCAAAAGGAAAGUAAAAUUCCAG
rnacentral:lncRNA from 1 species